GUCACAGGCAGACAAUGCAGCUGAACCCUAUUACGCAGAAGGAACUGUCAGAUGGCGGAUUCUUAAUGGGCUUUGAAGUACCACAGAGAGCAUCCACUCUAAUUGAGGUUCUGCAGGAUCAUACACUGUAAUUCAGGAGAUAACCUUACACAUCUCCAUUCCUUUAUUGAUGGUCAGGAAGGAAAGCGAUGACUUAAAAUUGCUUGGAAAGAUUUCUGACAGCUCUAGAUUAAAAAGUGCCAGUGGUGGCUGACUCCGUCUGGAAAAAUGGAAAGAAUGAAUGGAAAUAAGACCAAAGGGGCGAAAAGGAGAACUAGUUUGUCCAAAGGUUUCCAAAGGCCAUUUAUGUCUCAGUGGCAAGAGUUCUAAAUAAGGAGAGACUCCUGGGAAUUGGGUUCAGAAGCGAUUUUUCCAUUCACAUCGGAUUCCCAGAACAUAUCAGAGUCUCAGGGCAGCUCCUGAUGAAAUACAGAAAAAUACUAAAGCAAAAAUGAAUGAAACCUGAAAAAAAAAUCUCAGGAAAAAAGAUCGAGGAAAUGAAUUGUUGAUUUCUACAUAUGGUCAACCUUAUUUUGUUAGGAAAUUCCCUUUAAUGUUGCUAUCACCCUGACUUCAGGAACACUGCCAGGAAGAUGGAGGGGAAGGACAGCAUAAUGGGAAGUGAGCUGAACCCCAAAGACCUGGGCACCAGUCCCAGUUCUGCCACUUUCUAGAAGGGUGGCCUUCAGCAACUGAACCCAAUUUGCUCCUCAGUUUCCUCAUCUGUAAGAGACUAAGUGUUAGACCAGCUGGCCUCCAAGGUCUCUUCCAGAUCUAGUACUCUGUGGCUUGGCCCUUGUCCAAAGGGUCAUGAGGACUGGAAAAUAGAUUUCAAAGCGAUCAGAGGAAGGUGAGGUAGGGUCUCUCAAAGCAAUAGCUGACAUGUUAGAGGAAAGAAUAUGGAUCCAAAAAUAUUUUGACAGGCUAGAGCAUUGAGUUGAGCCUAAGAUGAUGAAAUUUAGGGGGUAGCUAGAUGGCUUAGUGUAUUGAGAGCCAGGCCUAGAGAUGGGAGAGUAUAUUCUGUAUAUUCUGCAACAGAAGUCAGCCCAGGAAGGAUGGAAAAUUCAAAGAUAAAAUUCGGAAGAGACAAAGGGAAACAAUUCUAGUGACAAUGAAAAAGGAGAGUUGUCUGAAGACACUAGUAUGGUUGCAGAAAGAACUUAGCAACCAAGUAACUUUUUGAAAAGAUAAAUAGAAAGGUAAGGGCAGGUAGCUGAAGAUAAGGACAAGAGAGAGGCAUUAUACUGGAAAAUUAGUGGUAGGGGGAGCAGUUGGUGGAUUGAGAGCCAGGUCCAGAGAUGGGAAGUCCUAGGUUCAAAUUUAGCUUCAGAUACUUCCUAGGUGUAUGACUCUGGGCAAGUCACUUAACCCCCAUUUUCUAGAGACUACUUUUCUGCCUUGCAACCAAUACACAUUGUUGAUUCAGAGACAUAAGGGUUAAAAAAAGAGAGAGAGAGAAAAUUAGUGUCAGAAGAUCUGUGGCUCUGAAUGAGUUGAGAUUGGCAAGGGAAGUUAAGGUUAUCCCAAAAGGUUUUUAAAAGCCAUAUUAGGGGAAAUGGGGAGAUUUAAAGAAAGUAGUGAAUAUGAUAACUGAUCAAUCCAAUAACAUUUAUUAAGCAUCUACCUAGUGCCAGAUACUGCUAAGUGCUGGGUUUACAAUUAAAUUGCUACAAUUAAAUAAAUAAAUUGUUACAAUUAAAUUAAAUUACAUACAACUAAAUUAAAUUACCAUUAAAAACUAAAAAAGAAAGACUAUUCCUGCCCUCAAGGAGCUAACAGUCUAAAGAGGGGAGACUUAGUGCACCAAAGGAGUCAAGAAAGUGGAGAAGGAGAAACAGAAGACAUCAGGAGGUACUUGACACAGGAAUAUCUUGAUUCAUCUUGUUUCCAUUCCAUAAAUGAAACAGAGCAGCAAAAGCUAAAUGGAGUGAGCUGAGUCUAGACUCUCCCCUCUAUAAAGGAAGGCAUUAGGAAGCAUACUCCAUAUUUCAUACCUCCAGCCUUUGGAAGGGAGAGGAAGCUGAGGAAGGUGGUGUCAAUUGAGGCUUGAGUUAAUAGCACAAUGGCGAGUUUAGAAGUGAUGAGCUCAUCCCAGGAGAGAAACUAGUUCUUUGGAGAUGAAAUCAAUCAGAAUGGCAGAUGCAAAAUGGAGUAGACCGACUACAGAGAAAAGGCUGAGCUGCUCAUUUCCCCUUUGUUUUCCCCACAACAAAUGACCUUUGCAAUGGAAAUAACAAAAACAAGACUAAUUAAGAGCUAUCACCUAACUGCCCCAAUGAAUUUGAGUCACCUGGUUCAAGUGAACUACUUCCUGGGAUUCUGAAAGAACUAACAGAUAUGAUGAUUACCAAACCAUCUUCAAUGAUCUGCAAAAGACUUUAGAAAAUGGGAGAGAAACCAAAGGGAAUCGAAUGGCAAAUGUCCUAGAUUUCAAAAAAGAAAAAAAAAUUCAAAAUAAGAAGAAAAAGAUGGAUUUAUAGGAUGCUGAGCUUGGCUUUCAUUCCUGAAAAAAAAAAUCUAGAAAGACUUUUAAAAAAACACCAUUACCUUCCAUCUUAGAAUCAAUACUAAAUAUUGAUUCCAAGGCAAAAGAGAGGUAAGGGCUAGACCAAGGGGGUUAAGACUUGCUCGGGGUCACACAGCUAGGAAGUGCCUGAGGCCAAAUCUGAAUUCUAGACCUGUAACUCUGUACAUUGAGCCACCCAGUUGCACCCUAAUAUAGCCUCUUAAAGACAGAGUAGAUAACUGGAAAAGGAAGUGGUCAUUUUACAUACAGCUAACAUGACUUGAUCAAGAAUAGAUCAUGCCAGACAAACCUUUCAUAUUUUUUUUAAUUCUGAACUUUCUCUCUCCUUUAUUUUCUUUUUGAAAGAGUCCAAAGGAGUAAGUCAACUUAUCUAUAUUCUCUCAAGACUUUAGACAAAGUAUUUCAGAUUAUUUUCAUGGAAAAUAUGGAGGGAUAUGGGCUAACCUAUAAUAAAAUCGGAUGAUUUGGAACUGAUUGAAAGGUUAAUUUCAGAAAAUAGUCAUUUGUUUUUCUCUUGGAUAAGCCUAUUUAUAAUAAUUUAUUACUUGUAAUAAAUCAUAUGUAUUAUAUUAUUGUUAUGUUCAUAUUAUGUUAUAUAUAAAAAAUAAAAAUAAGUAUCUGCUUUCACACACAUACAAAAAGUCAUCAUUCAUGGUUCAGUUUUAACUUGG